ACAUGCAGUCGAGCGAACGGACGAGAAGCUUGCUUCUCUGAUGUUAGCGGCGGACGGGUGAGUAACACGUGGAUAACCUACCUAUAAGACUGGGAUAACUUCGGGAAACCGGAGCUAAUACCGGAUAAUAUUUUGAACCGCAUGGUUCAAAAGUGAAAGACGGUCUUGCUGUCACUUAUAGAUGGAUCCGCGCUGCAUUAGCUAGUUGGUAAGGUAACGGCUUACCAAGGCAACGAUGCAUAGCCGACCUGAGAGGGUGAUCGGCCACACUGGAACUGAGACACGGUCCAGACUCCUACGGGAGGCAGCAGUAGGGAAUCUUCCGCAAUGGGCGAAAGCCUGACGGAGCAACGCCGCGUGAGUGAUGAAGGUCUUCGGAUCGUAAAACUCUGUUAUUAGGGAAGAACAUAUGUGUAAGUAACUGUGCACAUCUUGACGGUACCUAAUCAGAAAGCCACGGCUAACUACGUGCCAGCAGCCGCGGUAAUACGUAGGUGGCAAGCGUUAUCCGGAAUUAUUGGGCGUAAAGCGCGCGUAGGCGGUUUUUUAAGUCUGAUGUGAAAGCCCACGGCUCAACCGUGGAGGGUCAUUGGAAACUGGAAAACUUGAGUGCAGAAGAGGAAAGUGGAAUUCCAUGUGUAGCGGUGAAAUGCGCAGAGAUAUGGAGGAACACCAGUGGCGAAGGCGACUUUCUGGUCUGUAACUGACGCUGAUGUGCGAAAGCGUGGGGAUCAAACAGGAUUAGAUACCCUGGUAGUCCACGCCGUAAACGAUGAGUGCUAAGUGUUAGGGGGUUUCCGCCCCUUAGUGCUGCAGCUAACGCAUUAAGCACUCCGCCUGGGGAGUACGACCGCAAGGUUGAAACUCAAAGGAAUUGACGGGGACCCGCACAAGCGGUGGAGCAUGUGGUUUAAUUCGAAGCAACGCGAAGAACCUUACCAAAUCUUGACAUCCUUUGACAACUCUAGAGAUAGAGCCUUCCCCUUCGGGGGACAAAGUGACAGGUGGUGCAUGGUUGUCGUCAGCUCGUGUCGUGAGAUGUUGGGUUAAGUCCCGCAACGAGCGCAACCCUUAAGCUUAGUUGCCAUCAUUAAGUUGGGCACUCUAAGUUGACUGCCGGUGACAAACCGGAGGAAGGUGGGGAUGACGUCAAAUCAUCAUGCCCCUUAUGAUUUGGGCUACACACGUGCUACAAUGGACAAUACAAAGGGCAGCGAAACCGCGAGGUCAAGCAAAUCCCAUAAAGUUGUUCUCAGUUCGGAUUGUAGUCUGCAACUCGACUACAUGAAGCUGGAAUCGCUAGUAAUCGUAGAUCAGCAUGCUACGGUGAAUACGUUCCCGGGUCUUGUACACACCGCCCGUCACACCACGAGAGUUUGUAACACCCGAAGCCGGUGGAGUAACCUUUUAGGAGCUAGCC
rnacentral:rRNA from 2 species